GAUGCCCUGGCAGUCAGAGGCGAUGAAGGGCGUACUAAUCUGCGAUAAGCGCCGGUAAGGUGAUAUGAACCGUUAUAACCGGCGAUACCCGAAUGGGGAAACCCAGUGUGAUUCGUCACACUAUCAUUAACUGAAUCCAUAGGUUAAUGAGGCGAACCGGGGGAACUGAAACAUCUAAGUACCCCGAGGAAAAGAAAUCAACCGAGAUUCCCCCAGUAGCGGCGAGCGAACGGGGAGGAGCCCAGAGCCUGAAUCAGCAUGUGUGUUAGUGGAAGCGUCUGGAAAGGCGCGCGAUACAGGGUGACAGCCCCGUACACAAAAGCGCAUGUGCUGUGAGCUCGAUGAGUAGGGCGGGACACGUGGUAUCCUGUCUGAAUAUGGGGGGACCAUCCUCCAAGGCUAAAUACUCCUGACUGACCGAUAGUGAACCAGUACCGUGAGGGAAAGGCGAAAAGAACCCCGGCGAGGGGAGUGAAAAAGAACCUGAAACCGUGUACGUACAAGCAGUGGGAGCACAGGUUUACCUGUGUGACUGCGUACCUUUUGUAUAAUGGGUCAGCGACUUAUAUUCUGUAGCAAGGUUAACCGAAUAGGGGAGCCGGAGGGAAACCGAGUCUUAAUUGGGCGUUAAGUUGCAGGGUAUAGACCCGAAACCCGGUGAUCUAGCCAUGGGCAGGUUGAAGGUUGGGUAACACUAACUGGAGGACCGAACCGACUAAUGUUGAAAAAUUAGCGGAUGACCUGUGGCUGGGGGUGAAAGGCCAAUCAAACCGGGAGAUAGCUGGUUCUCCCCGAAAGCUAUUUAGGUAGCGCCUCGUGAAUUCAUCUCCGGGGGUAGAGCACUGUUUCGGCUAGGGGGCCAUCCCGGCUUACCAACCCGAUGCAAACUGCGAAUACCGGAGAAUGUUAUCACGGGAGACACACGGCGGGUGCUAACGUCCGUCGUGAAGAGGGAAACAACCCAGACCGCCAGCUAAGGUCCCAAAGUCAUGGUUAAGUGGGAAACGAUGUGGGAAGGCCCAGACAGCCAGGAUGUUGGCUUAGAAGCAGCCAUCAUUUAAAGAAAGCGUAAUAGCUCACUGGUCGAGUCGGCCUGCGCGGAAGAUGUAACGGGGCUAAACCAUGCACCGAAGCUGCGGCAGCGACACUGUGUGUUGUUGGGUAGGGGAGCGUUCUGUAAGCCUGCGAAGGUGGCCUGUGAGGGUUGCUGGAGGUAUCAGAAGUGCGAAUGCUGACAUAAGUAACGAUAAAGCGGGUGAAAAGCCCGCUCGCCGGAAGACCAAGGGUUCCUGUCCAACGUUAAUCGGGGCAGGGUGAGUCGACCCCUAAGGCGAGGCCGAAAGGCGUAGUCGAUGGGAAACGGGUUAAUAUUCCCGUACUUGGUGUUACUGCGAAGGGGGGACGGAGAAGGCUAUGUUGGCCGGGCGACGGUUGUCCCGGUUUAAGCGUGUAGGUGUGUGUUCCAGGUAAAUCCGGUUCACUUUAACACUGAGGCGUGACGACGAGGCACUACGGUGCUGAAGCAACAAAUGCCCUGCUUCCAGGAAAAGCCUCUAAGCAUCAGGUAACAUCAAAUCGUACCCCAAACCGACACAGGUGGUCAGGUAGAGAAUACCAAGGCGCUUGAGAGAACUCGGGUGAAGGAACUAGGCAAAAUGGUGCCGUAACUUCGGGAGAAGGCACGCUGACACGUAGGUGAAGUGAUUUACUCAUGGAGCUGAAGUCAGUCGAAGAUACCAGCUGGCUGCAACUGUUUAUUAAAAACACAGCACUGUGCAAACACGAAAGUGGACGUAUACGGUGUGACGCCUGCCCGGUGCCGGAAGGUUAAUUGAUGGGGUCAGCGCAAGCGAAGCUCCUGAUCGAAGCCCCGGUAAACGGCGGCCGUAACUAUAACGGUCCUAAGGUAGCGAAAUUCCUUGUCGGGUAAGUUCCGACCUGCACGAAUGGCGUAAUGAUGGCCAGGCUGUCUCCACCCGAGACUCAGUGAAAUUGAACUCGCUGUGAAGAUGCAGUGUACCCGCGGCAAGACGGAAAGACCCCGUGAACCUUUACUAUAGCUUGACACUGAACAUUGAGCCUUGAUGUGUAGGAUAGGUGGGAGGCUUUGAAGUGUGGACGCCAGUCUGCAUGGAGCCGACCUUGAAAUACCACCCUUUAAUGUUUGAUGUUCUAACGUGGACCCGUUACCCGGGUUGCGGACAGUGUCUGGUGGGUAGUUUGACUGGGGCGGUCUCCUCCUAAAGAGUAACGGAGGAGCACGAAGGUUGGCUAAUCCUGGUCGGACAUCAGGAGGUUAGUGCAAUGGCAUAAGCCAGCUUGACUGCGAGCGUGACGGCGCGAGCAGGUGCGAAAGCAGGUCAUAGUGAUCCGGUGGUUCUGAAUGGAAGGGCCAUCGCUCAACGGAUAAAAGGUACUCCGGGGAUAACAGGCUGAUACCGCCCAAGAGUUCAUAUCGACGGCGGUGUUUGGCACCUCGAUGUCGGCUCAUCACAUCCUGGGGCUGAAGUAGGUCCCAAGGGUAUGGCUGUUCGCCAUUUAAAGUGGUACGCGAGCUGGGUUUAGAACGUCGUGAGACAGUUCGGUCCCUAUCUGCCGUGGGCGCUGGAGAACUGAGGGGGGCUGCUCCUAGUACGAGAGGACCGGAGUGGACGCAUCACUGGUGUUCGGGUUGUCAUGCCAAUGGCACUGCCCGGUAGCUAAAUGCGGAAGAGAUAAGUGCUGAAAGCAUCUAAGCACGAAACUUGCCCCGAG
rnacentral:rRNA from 1 species